rnacentral:rRNA from 1 species
UCCAGACUCCUACGGGAGGCAGCAGUGGGGAAUAUUGGACAAUGGGCGAAAGCCUGAUCCAGCCAUGCCGCGUGUGUGAAGAAGGUCUUCGGAUUGUAAAGCACUUUAAGUUGGGAGGAAGGGCAGUUACCUAAUACGUGAUUGUUUUGACGUUACCGACAGAAUAAGCACCGGCUAACUCUGUGCCAGCAGCCGCGGUAAUAC